AUGACCUACAUGUGGAAGGUGAAAGUUGCAUAUGUGAAUUCUCGCUUACUUCCAUUUUUGUGCUUAAGUCAUAUGGACUUUGCGACACUGCAGGAGGUCCUAACAUGCAUCGAUAAUGACAUAAACCAUGAGCAACUAACAAAGCGUGUCUUCGAGGUACUUCUAUACAAAGCUUACCCAGGAUGCCAGCAAAGUCCUCUUGCAGCCGAUGCGGCAAACCGUUGGCAAUUUGCCGAGCGGGCUUACGAGUUAAAACUUCUAAAAGUGGUUGCAUUUGAUCGACCUUCCCCACAGGUUAUAGUUUACUUGGAUCUAAAGCGUGAGGAGUGCUCCAGACUCUUCCCGUCAGGAUGGAUAUUCUCGCACUCAUACUUUCUUGCAGGGCAGGAAUUUCGUGUUGUGGCAGGUCGUGUGCUGGAUGAGGAAAGUAACUUUUAUAGCUUUGGCCUCUACGUUGAGCUCCACUGGAUGCCGGGGUGCUCAAAGUGCGUCACAUUGGACUGUGAGUUGGCUGCAAGGAGAAAUCCUUCAGGGAAAUUUGUUAGCCAGGUUAAUAAGAAACUCGCCUUUCAUGGUGAUGCGUCACUUGGAUGGGGCAAUAUCUUUGAGAUGCCAUGGUCAAGGUUCAUUGCUAAUAACAACCUCUUCAUUGAUGGUGUGCUGCAUCUGAGAGCUGAUUUGACGGUGGUCGUUCAACUGUUGCCAAUGACAACCUCUUCAUCAACGAUUCAAUGGCGCGCUGCAUCUGAGAGCUGA
rnacentral:rRNA from 1 species